GCCAUCCGCUCGGCAGGUGAGGAAACUCAGGGCCGCAGAUGUGUCUCUGCUCCCACCGGUCUGAUGGGAACAGAAAGUUUUGAGGGAGUUUACUGCUGAUGCAAGGUGACUGGUUGGAUAAAGAAGUCCAAAGUUAUUUUUUUAUCUGUAGAACAAAUAAAGCCUGGCCAAAGCAGGGAGGCUUGUUCAGACUUGGAAUGUAAACACACCUGACAAGUCUGAGGAAGCUCUUGGAACAUACAGGAUUCACAAAGGUCUUCCUCAAAGUUAAACAAGCAGGCACAAUGACUGGGGACUGGAAGCUCUCCUCUCAGCAGGGCUGUCUACAAGUCCUGUAGGGAGCUCCAAGGAUGCAGCAAGAAUGUCGUGGAAUGGAAUCUCAGGGCACGUGCCUGGUUCUCCUGGCUUUUCUCAUUUAGCAAGCACAUUUGACAUCAGUCCAGGGCACAGCGCCUCAAGUUUACUCAGCUCCACUGUAGUCAUUUAUCUUCGUGAUUCUCAGGGGUGCUUCAAGAGCCAUUUGUUCCCCAACUUGGAUAUAUACUUUAUGUAAAAUAAAUGUAUCCUUCUUAAA